rnacentral:pre_miRNA from 1 species
AGUGGGAUAGCUGAGUCAAAUGGUGGUUCCAUUACAAUAUUUCUAAGGAAUUUCCAUACUGCUUUCCAGAUUGGUUGCAGCAAUUUGCAGUCCCACCAGCAAU